GAUCAGGGCUCUUAUCGUACUGAGCGUGGCCCUGUUCUGCCAGGCGCUGCAGAGACCCCAGUAAAUGUCUGGGGAAUAGUCACAAAACAAUUUCGCGUUGAAUAAGGAGUUGCUAAUGUGAAGAGAUUGAGUAACACUGCUUCCCAGAAAAGUGUAAUGCACCCCACCUCUCCAUCAUCACAUACUUCACCCACCAUGCCAGACUAGAAGUACUGACAGCGGAUCAGCCACUGACGCAUCUAACCUAGUAUCCUGUCUUCACCAGUGGCCAGGACACAGCUGUUUAAUUCCUAUGUAUCCUACUGUGCAAUAUCAUACCAUAGGCUUCUCCAUAAAGGGAUAAAUCAGUUGUUUAA